rnacentral:rRNA from 1 species
UACAGAGGGUGCGAGCGUUGUCCGGAAUCACUGGGCGUAAAGGGCGCGUAGGCGGUGACUUAAGCGUGUGGUGAAAGCUCGGGGCUCAACCCCGAGUCGGCCGUGCGAACUGGGUCACUGGAGCAUGUCAGAGGCAGGCGGAAUUCCGGGUGUAGCGGUGAAAUGCGCAGAUAUCAGGAGGAACACCGGUGGCGAAGGCGGAUCUCUGGGCCUUACCUGACGCUGAGGCGCGAAAGCUAGGGGAGCGAACAGG